AUUGAACGCUGGCGGCAGGCCUAACACAUGCAAGUCGAGCGGAUGAAGGGUGCUUGCUCCUGGAUUCAGCGGCGGACGGGUGAGUAAUGCCUAGGAAUCUGCCUGUUAGUGGGGGAUAACGUCCGGACACGGGCGCUAAUACCGCAUACGUCCUGAGGGCGAACGUGGGGGAUCUUCGGACCUCACGCUAUCGGAUGAGCCUAGGUCGGAUUAGCUAGUUGGUGGGGUAAAGGCCUACCAAGGCGACGAUCCGUAACUGGUCUGAGAGGAUGAUCAGUCACACUGGAACUGAGACACGGUCCAGACUCCUACGGGAGGCAGCAGUGGGGAAUAUUGGACAAUGGGCGAAAGCCUGAUCCAGCCAUGCCGCGUGUGUGAAGAAGGUCUUCGGAUUGUAAAGCACUUUAAGUUGGGAGGAAGGGCAGUAAGUUAAUACCUUGCUGUUUUGACGGUACCAACAGAAUAAGCACCGGCUAACUUCGUG
rnacentral:rRNA from 1 species